rnacentral:rRNA from 1 species
GACGAACGCUGGCGGCGUGCCUAAUACAUGCAAGUCGAACGCAGUGGGGACGGGUGAGUAACACGUGGGUAACCUCCCAUCAGAGGGGAUAACACUUGGAAACAGGUGCUAAACCGAUACUGAUGGAUGGACCCGCGGUGCAUUAGCUAGUUGGUGAGGUAACGGCUCACCAAGGCCACGAUGCAUAGCGGGCCCGGGGGGGGGAGCGGCCAAACCGGGACUGAGAAACGGCCCAGAAUCCUAAGGGAGGCAGACGGGGGGAAUCUUGCGCAAAGGACGGAAGUCUGACCCGGGCACGCCGCGUGGGUGAAGAAGGUUUUCGGGUCGUAAAACGCUGUUGUUAGGGAAGCGGUAACUAACCAAGAAGCCACGGCUAACUACGUGCCAGCAGCCGCGGUAAUAC